UGCUUAUCAGGCAAUGUUGGUACGUCCUGAUAAAAAUAUGGGUAAUGAGAAGGCUGUAGAAGCCUUUAAGAAACUUCAAAAUGCAUAUGAGAUUCUAAUGGAUUCGUUGAAGCGAAAAGCUUAUGAUGAUGAGCUAAGGAGAGAGGAGAUUUUGAGUGUAUUUCGUAGAUUUCAUGAUGCUUCUUGUAAGAAUGGUAGGCAUGGAUUCUUUCCUUCAGGAUUUGCACGAUCUGAUGCAGAUGGCAAGGAUCCAUUUGGUGAUUCAAGGUGAAUAGCCUGCAAAAGAUGUGCUGGCUUUCAUGUCUGGAUACACACCAGGAAACAAAAGUCUCGGGCAAGAUGGUGCCAGGAUUGCCAAGACUUUCAUCAAGCUAAGGAUGGUGAUGGAUGGGUUGAACAAUCUUCCCAACCAUUUCUUUUUGGCUUAUUGCAGAAGGUUGAUGCUCCUUCAGCAUAUGUGUGUGCUGGUAGCAGGAUAUAUGAUGCCAUUGAAUGGUAUAUCUGUCAGGGCAUGAGAUGUCCAGCGAAUACUCAUAAGCCAAGUUUUCAUGUGAACACAAAUUUAAUGUCCAAGCAUAAUUCUGGCAAAGGAACUAGUUCAGGUCAAAGAGGUGGGCAUAUGCCAACACCUAAUAUCGAAGAAACCAUGACUGAGGAAGAAUUAUUUGAGUGGUUACAGAAUGCAGUACAUGCGGGUGCAUUUGACAAUUUUAGUGGCACUGCAAUAGAGAGCCCAUCUCCCAAAUCUAGAAAUGGAAU